UACGAAGGGGGCUAGCGUUGCUCGGAAUCACUGGGCGUAAAGCGCACGUAGGCGGAUUGCUAAGUCAGGGGUGAAAUCCUGGAGCUCAACUCCAGAACUGCCUUUGAUACUGGCGAUCUCGAGUCCGGGAGAGGUGAGUGGAACUGCGAGUGUAGAGGUGAAAUUCGUAGAUAUCAGGAGGAACACCUACGGCGAAGGCAGCUCGCUGGGACGGUACUGACGCUGAGACGCGAAAGCGUGGGGAGCAAACAGG
rnacentral:rRNA from 1 species